GGCACCAUGGCUUAGCUGGUUAAAGCACCUGUUUCAUAAACAGGUCAUAUUGGGUUCAACUCCCAGUGGUGCUU